rnacentral:rRNA from 1 species
GACGAACGCUGGCGGCGUGCCUAACACAUGCAAGUCGAACGGGGUGUCGAGAGCUUGCUCUUGACACUUAGUGGCGAACGGGUGAGUAACGCGUGAGAAACCUGCCUCUCAGUGGGGGACAACAGUUGGAAACGACUGCUAAUACCGCAUAAAGUCAUCGGAUGGCAUCAUCUGAUGACCAAAGGAGCAAUCCGCUGAAAGAUGGGCUCGCGUCUGAUUAGAUAGUUGGUGAGGUAACGGCUCACCAAGUCGACGAUCAGUAGCCGGACUGAGAGGUUGAACGGCCACAUUGGGACUGAGACACGGCCCAGACUCCUACGGGAGGCAGCAGUGGGGGAUAUUGGACAAUGGGGGAAACCCUGAUCCAGCGAUGCCGCGUGAAGGAAGAAGGUUUUCGGAUUGUAAACUUCUGUGGACAGGGACGAUAAUGACGGUACCUGUUUAGAAAGCCACGGCUAACUACGUG